UACGGAGGGGGCUAGCGUUGUUCGGAAUUACUGGGCGUAAAGCGCGCGUAGGCGGACCUGCAAGUCGGGGGUGAAAGCCCGAGGCUCAACCUCGGAACUGCCUUCGAUACUGCGGGUCUCGAGUCCGGGAGAGGUGAGUGGAAUUCCUAGUGUAGAGGUGAAAUUCGUAGAUAUCAGGAGGAACACCGAUUGCGAAGGCAGCUCGCUGGGACGUUACUGACGCUGAGACGCGAAAGCGUGGGGAGCAAACAGG
rnacentral:rRNA from 1 species